rnacentral:lncRNA from 1 species
AACUGUACAGAGCAUUUAUUAUGAUAGAGAAAAAAAACAUGGUCAGACUGAAAUGCAUUUAUGAUGAUAGAAAAAAAGCAUGGUCAAAUUGAAAUUGUACACACAAGUUUAGCUAGGCAACCCCAUAAAAUCUGCAUUGAAGAUUUGAUCUUGAUAUUUACAUGUAAUAAGAACACUAUUUGAAGAACUUUGAUGAUGGUUUUGUGGGUCUCGAGGUAAGCUGCAGAAAUACAUGUAAUACAAGUGUAAGAAAUUUGCCUAUAAAUAUAACCUGCAUUUUGCAAUAAAUGCACAAGCAACAAAUAUGUCUUCCAUGUUUUCUAUGUUGAAAGAUCUUCAUCCUUCUGUAACAACAUCAGUGAUAAAAGUGAGAGUGGUUCGUGCUUAUGAAGUGCCUUUCAAUGGCAAUGCUGCUGAUAUUAUGAGUUUGGAGUGCAUAUUUCAUGAUGCAGAGGUGAGCAUUUGUGUAUAUUUCAUAAGAUAAUUCUAUGAUGACAGAUAAUGUAUGUAUGUGCUGAUAAUUUCCUUUUUUCUUUGUAGGGUUCAAAAAUUCAUGCAUCUUUUGGAAGAGCUGUGCUAAGAACUAUUGCAGUGAAUAUCAGUGAAGGGAACUGUUAUGUCAUGCAGAAAUUUUACACAAGGCCAAAUCAUAUGCGUUAUAAAACGACUAAUCAUGCAUUUCGCUUAACUAUGACUCAGAAAACUCAAAUUUAUCAAGUGAUUGAUGAUGAGUUUCCAUUUCAUAUGUUUUCGUUGAAGCCAUUUCCUGAAAUUUCAACUAUUGAGAAUUUACAUGAUGAAGCACUGUUUGGUAAUGUUUUGUAAAAUUUGUGCUAGCAUUGUUUUUUUUAAGAAAAUUUCGUGAUGGGAGUUUAAUAUGUUUGUUGCAGAUGUUGUAGGAGUUGUUGUUGACAGUGGAGGUGUGGUUAAUCAGCCUAACGCAAAGAUGAUGGAGUUAAAGUUGGAAGAUGAAAAGUAUUAUUCAAUCAUAUUGUCUAUUCUUGAGCUUCUGUAAGUUAUGUUAUUUUCUGUGAAGAAUGAUAUGAUUUUAUUUGAAAAUUGCAGUCAGAAUGUUAUCAUAUGCACCCUUUGGGAAGAUUUUGUUGAUCAGUUUUUGGCACAAGUUGAUGGAUAUGUUCAACAAAUUCCAGUUAUUGUGGUUCAGUUUUGCAGGCCACAUCUGUACAAGGGUAUGAGAAUGUAUUUAUUAAAUUUAAUGUAUGGUUUAUAUUUAUUGAGUGUUAUUUUUAUUGUGUUUGAAUUACAUCUAUAUGCAGGCCAAGUGCGCAUAUCUACAUCAUUCAAUGUUUCUAAAGUCACACUAAACAAGGGCCUUCCAGAGAUCAAUGAAAUGAGGCAGAGGUUAAAGUUAUUACCAGUUAAUUUUCUAUAUUUUUUUGAAGUUUUAAUGUGACAAGGUGACCAAAACUCAAGUUCAAGUGUUUUUAAAUUUUCUUGUGUGUUUUAGGAUUUUUGGAGUGCAAAGGUUCAUUGAGACUAUAAACUUAACUUUUAAGGUUGAGCCUAAGAAAUUGGUGGAUGAGAAUGAAAUCAUGGAUGUGAAGAGCAUUGAAGAUGUUUUCUGCUUGGAGGUUUGUUUAUCUGCAGCAUGCUCUUAGUUAACAUUAGUUUUAUACUAUAGUAUGUGUAUUUAAUGAGUUAAAAAACCUGUAGUUUUUAUCAUUCUGUGAUGCACAGGAUGGGUGUUACUAGAUUUGUGGUAGGAUUGAUCAUAUUGAAUCAAAUGGUGAUUGGUUUUACUUGGCCUGCAAGCGUUGUUCAAAGAAAGUUGUGAAGGUGGAGCAGAGGUUCUUUUGUGAUCGUUGUAACAAAUACGAUGGGGUGCCUUCGAAGAAGUAAGGUUUAGAUAGUUUGGUAUUGAAUAUAAGCUAUUUGUGAUUAUUAAUUAUUAAUUAUUAUUAUUUGUUGGCACAGAUUCAUGAUUAGGGUAAAUGUGGUUGAUGCAACAAGCAAUGCAACAUUGCUACUGUGGGAUAGGGAGUGUGUUCAACUCAUUGGCAAAAGAGCUUGGGAAGUUGAUGUUUCUACUGCUGUGGUAAAUUUAAAGUGUUUUUGCUGCUUGGCAAAUAUAUUUUUGAGAUUGUUGGAUAAACAUCUUGGGAAGAUGAAGUUUUAAAGUUCUAUGAGUUCCUGUUUGUGUGUGCUUUAAUUUGUUAAGUACUAUUUAUUAUUUCAGGUGGAUGGAAUCCCUAAAGAAAUAGAAAACAAACUGCUAGAGAAGUUUGUUUUAUUCAAAGUGCAAAUGAGAAAUGAUGCUGACUUCCGGUUGGAUCAACCCUAUACUAUCAACAAAGUUUGUGUGACUCCUGAAAUUGUGGAGAAGUUUGCUUCAAAAAUCAUGGAAAGUCAGACUGAGAACUCUGCAGCAAAUGAGUCACUUACUGAUUUAGCAUUUGGAUAUGAUGUGAAGGUAUACAUUAUUCAAUGUUUAUUUCGUUUGUGCAUAUGAGCAAUCCUGUUAGUUACAUUGUUUUAUAAAAAUAACUAAUUGGUUAUAAUUUCCUACUGUAGGAAUCUCAAAGUCAGCCUAUCAAAACAUUCCCUGAAGAACUUCAUGAGAUUUUGGAGAAAGAUGAAGAACUUGAUGACAGUUUGGAGAGAGGAGCAUGGAUUACUGAAUCUGGGAAAAGAGGGCUGGAGGAGUUGUCUGAUGAUGGUGUGUUUCUGAAGAACAGUUUGGAGAGAGGAGCAGGGAUUAUUAAAUCUGGGGAAAGAGGGCUGGAGGAGUUGUCUGAUGAUGGUGUGUUUCUAAAAAAAUUGAAGAAGGAGAAGGAUGGUGUGUUUCUGAAGAAAGUUAAGAAGGAGAAGGCGGAUGGUGUGUUUCUAAAGAAAGUGAAGAAGGAGAAGGAGUGAUCCUUAUGAGACAGCCCUUGAUUUUUUGAGAACUUAAUUACUUAGUGGAUGCUUAUCUUACAGUCUUUGUAAUUAUUAAGUACUAAUAGUUUCUGUAGUGUUUGACUUUUGAGCUCAAAGCUUAUAGUAUGUGGUGUUUAACGAAACCAACACCUAAACUAUAAGACAUAAAGUGUAGACUAUACCUAGUAACGUCGAUCGGAAAGAGUAAUAAUCGGAGAAUUGAACACGAGAGCAAAAUGUAGCUGUUGUAUUCAAAAGCGAGUGAUAGCGUAAAAAAUGUAAUACACGAGCACGAGGCCUAUUUAUAGAUUACAAUUGAGGGUAAAAAGGUAAAAUCGAUGCUAGUGCAUGCGUUUGACGUGAUUGAAGGGUAUAUCAGGAAUUUCAUCUUCACGCGGGAAAAUCCUCCGCGUCUUUGGCGAUCCUUCUGAAAGAGGCGAUCUCUCUAGCACGGAUGACUUCCCUGGCGUGGAGGACUUCUCUGACGUGGAUGACUUCUCUGGCGUGGAGGACUUCUCUGACGUGGAUGACUUCUCUGGCGUGGAGGACUUCUCUGCAUGGAUGACUUCUCUGAUGAUGGUGACUUCUCUGAGGGGGAUGACUUCUCUGAUGGUGGUGACUUCUCUGAUGGCAUUGACUUCUCUGGCGAGUGUAUCUCUUCUGCCAUAUUCGUCCCGCCAGUGGGGUCGAUUCCUCUGAUUUGUAUUCUUUCCCUACUCUGCACAUAUUACUCCUCAUCAACCACUCCCCCCUCUAGUCUGGUUGAACCGGGUAUUCUUCGUGUUCAACCAUUGUAGUAUUGUUAAAGCUGGUGCUAUGAUGUUUUCCCUGAUCCCUGCAAGUCAUGAAGAUAUAAACACUCUAAUAUUUUACGAAAAUAAAGGUAAGUCCUGUAAGUUGCUCUCUGGUGUUUUUGUCACUCCCCCCCUGGUCUGGCUAGUUCACUUCUGGAAUAGUGCAACUAGCCAGAGGAUCCGCCCGCAUGGAUGACGUCACCUGCAUUAAAUGCCUGCCCGAUCUACAGUGCUUUUUCCCGUACCCCGAGGUUACUUUUUAGCCUUUGCGUCUUUUCGCCUUUCCGUAGGGAUUUUUAGCCGUCGAUUUAUUUCCGUAUGCCACGUGUCGUUCAUCCCGCAUAUUGGUAGUUGCCCGCGUAUAUUUUUACUUAGUCGAUUCGAACUCCCAUUUUUCACUAUUCUUCUUCUCCGGCUUUCUCAAACUUCUUCAUCUGCGAAUUCCGGCGAUUCUCCCUCCUGUUCCGGCGAUUCUCUCCCUGUUCCGGCGUAUUCUCCCGCGACCCUUCCGCUCCAGGUUUUAUCAUCAAUCUUUCUCUGGUCUAGGUAAUUCGCGUACCCUCUUCUUCCCAUAUUUGUAAUUAGUUGUAGCGCAGUAGCGUAAUUGUUGGUGCUCUGAUUGAGCGUGUUUAGAAACCCUAGGUUUUAGGUAUUUUGACAAUGGCCUCUACUUCCGCUCCCCAACCCUCGCGCUCGCCUUCUCCUCAAAAUUCUUUAUCUUCUUCUUCCCAACCCCAGGAACUCGAAAACCUUCCUUCCUCCUCUUUCUCUCACAAUUCCCAAGCUNGAGUCUUCUCGAGGCAGAGGAGAGGAAGAAGUGGCAGAGUAGAGAAGUCAAUUCUGCCAGAGCAGAGAAGCCGAGUCUUCUCGAGCAGAGGAGAGGAAGAAGUGCCAGAGCAGAGAAUUCAAGUAUGCCAGAUCAGAGAAGCCGAGUCUUCUCGAGCAGAGGAGAGGAAGAAGUGGCAGAGCAGAGAAGUCAAGUCUGCCAGAGCAGAGAAGUCGAGUCUUCUCGAGCAGAGGAGAGGAAGAAGUGGCAGAGCAGAGAAGUCAAGUGACAGAGAAGAAGAAGACGAAUAUUCAAGUACUUGAGUACGUGUGGGGAAGACAGGAGGUUCGGGAACCAAGCGGUGAACCCUGGCAUACUUAAAGAACCUAAAGAUACUAUCAAAACAAUAAAAUGAAAAUGUACAAAACCAAAAACUAAUAAGCGAAAAAAAAAUAAAGAUCUCAGUAUAAAAAAAUUAUUCUUUAUGAACCCAUUAGUGUAGAUAUUAUUAGAUCUAUGAAAAUGAAAAUUAUAAGAUAAACACACAAAAAAACUAAAGAAUGAAAAAAAUUAAAAAAAGAAAGAUAAAUAUGCAAAAAAAAUAAAGAUCUUCUGUUUUAAAAAUACAGAAGGAUGAUUAAUGCUCUAAUUGAUUUUUCAAUAUGACUUCUUUAAGUUAUUUAUAAUUUGUUCAUAAUUAUGAUUAAUUGAUUUUUGAAUAAUGAAGAAAGUUUCACCCUCCGCCCAAGAUAUUUUAACUGUUCUUUUUAUUUAUCCAAAUUUAACAAGUUUGAUGGGCGCUGUAUUGACUACAUGGUUACGAUUUUAUUUAUUAUUAUUUUAUGGGUUAUUGGCAUAUAAAUACACUAAAUUUGGACAUAUUUUGAUUUGUAACAUGAACUUUAAAAAGUGUCAACAAAUACACCAAUUUAUUUAUUGUAGUAAUUUUUAACAUGAAUUCUAUUUACUUUCAUAAAUACAAUUCGAGACACACAGUUUCCCGGCUUUUAUUUUGAGCCUCACAAUUUUUGUUUUGAUUUGCGUGAUAUAUGUAUAUGUAUUUUGUGUGGGCUUGCAUGUGCACUAAUUAAUGCUGAUAUUUAUUAUACGAAUCUUAGAGAAAGAUUUUUUUUUUAAAGUUCAAUUUUUUACUUCCAAAAUUUGUACUAUAGCCGCCAUUUCUUAGUGCCUCAAUUAAUAAAUUCUUUUGCAACUAUUUGUGAUUCAGAUGAAUAGCUUUAUAGAGCAUUUCUUAGCAGCUGAAUUAAAAAAUAGUUGUACAGAUCAUUUAUUAUGAUAGAGAAAAAAAGCAUGGUCAGACUGAAACGCAUUUAUGAUGAUAGAAAAAAAAAAAUUAUAGAGUAGCGCCUGAAUUAAAAAUUGAUUUAUGAUUUGGUUUAUGACUCGAUUGUAAAAAAAACCCAAUUUUUUCGUUUUAAAAUUGCACUGAGAUUAAUAUUUUUUUUGUAAAACUGAAUUUGAAGGAAAAUUAAGUGAAAAGCAAUGUAAAUUAUCAUAAUAGUUAAAAUGAAGGAAUUAUGAUGUGUGUGUAAUUCAUAUUGAAGGUAUUGAAGGUACUGAAUUUGAAGGAAUUUUUUUUUGUAAAACUGAAUUUGAAGGAGAAUUUCUUAACUAAAGUAUCUUAGGUAAAAUAUCAUAAUAGUUAAACUGAAUUUGAAGGAAUUUUUUUUACUGUUUGAUGGAACUCUAGAACUGUUACAAUUGUACAUAUAUAUGAAAAAAGGAUACUUAGUAUGUUAAAAAGCACAUAAGAAGAUAUAAACAAUGAUGAAUAAAAAAAAUCUUGACAGUGUUUACAAAGCCAUUUCAAAUGAAUAAAAUCAUUCUACGUGUUCACUAACAAGGGACUUAUUUUUUUGGGUUUUGGCCAAGGUACUGUUGCUGUGGUGAAAAGGUGAUAUGAAGAAGUUAAGUAAAUCUACGAAGAUAUGUGGUAAACGGAAGAAGGAAGACAUCGUCGAAUCAUGUGAGUGUAAUGUGAUUUAUUUUGAAUUCUUUUUGAAGAUAAGUGAUUACCUGCUUAUAUUAGGUAGUUGUAGAUGUAAAUGAUGAACACUACUUCUUCGAAAAUCUGCGAUAUAGAGGAUUGAAAUGUUUUUUAGUUACAUAAAUGUAGAUUUAGAUGAUUAACAUUUUUUGGAAACUCAACUUUUUUUUUUGUGGAUGUAAGAUGUGAUUCAAUGUAGUUAUGUAGAUCUAAUAUAUUCGCCGAUCUGAAUCUGUGGAAACAAAAAAUCAUUAACAAAGCAAUUUAGAAUGAAAAAAAUUUGAUACAAAUUUUUUUUAGUUAGCAUGUAGAGCGUAUACCUUUAGAUCUGCAACAACCGCUUCUUCAAAUGGAUAUCUGUAUUGUAUUCUUCUGUGAAAAAGUUGUUUUUUCAGAUUUGUAGAAUGGUAAAAAAAA